UACGGGGGGAGCAAGCGUUGUUCGGAUUUACUGGGCGUAAAGGGCGCGUAGGCGGCCACCGCAAGUCGACUGUGAAAUCUCCGGGCUUAACUCGGAAAGGUCAGCCGAUACUGCGGGGCUAGAGUGCAGAAGGGGCAACUGGAAUUCUCGGUGUAGCGGUGAAAUGCGUAGAUAUCGAGAGGAACACCUGCGGCGAAGGCGGGUUGCUGGGCUGACACUGACGCUGAUUGUGCGAAAGCUAGGGAGCGAAGCGGG
rnacentral:rRNA from 1 species